UACCUUUGAGACAUGCUUAAUUGAUUAAAUACUAAUCACACUACUUCACCUCCACUUGAGUAGAUCUCUAUAAAUGCCAUCACGCUACCUUUGUUUAUCCUAGUAAGUGUUAGUUUGGAAGUACUGCACAUACUUCUAUUGGCUUUUAAAUUAAGCAUGGUGCUUAGGUUAAAUAGCCUUCCUUAAUCUGAUUAGACAUGGAGUCUAGUUCGGUUAUUGAACUAAAAACUGCUUGUGUAGACAUUGGUAUAUUUUGUCGGACUAACCCAUGUAGAAAAACUUUCAAUAUCAAUUUGGGAAGUCCUAAUAUACACUCACAUCGGAGCUGAAGAGAGAGACACAUGAAGUUUAACAAUUUGCACAAGAAGGACAUAGCUCAAUCAUCAUAGAGAGAUGAUCCAUGGAAGGAGACAAAGUACAUAAGCAAGAUACACAGCCACUACGAAUGGGAAGCUUCCUCAAGGUGAGAUGGUACCAUCACGCUUCAAUUAAGGUAACAUCUUAAGAUAUGUGACUAUCACUUUUAUAAUCUUCUCCUUGGUUCUAGCGUUCACAUAAAUAAAGAGACAAACAUGUAUGAUCUGUAACUCCAAAUUAACCAACCCAACUGAGUCAGCAUGUUUAGUCCUUUAAUAUUUGUUCCUAGUACUACCUCCAUGAUCCCACACUCCUAAUCAUAUGAGCUAAAAUGUUGCACAUUCAAUCUUUGGGAAGAUAUAAAGAAAAAGACAUAUACAUAGAUAGAUUAUCUUUCCAUAAGGUUGAACGAUCUGAUCUGACAAAUGUUUUAAAUGCUACACUCAUGAACUCAUCACCCAUCAACUUUGUCUUGCUCCCUAUGCUUAAAGAUAGAGAAGAAUAAAUAUACUUUUGGUUCUGUUGGUGUUAUCCACCAACAGGACCCAUGCACUUGAUCUCUGUCUUGUCUCUAUGAGCAGGACAUAUUUUGACAAACAUGGAGGAUUUUUCAACUCCCAGACUCUACCAAGUGAAGGACGUGGAUCUACGAGGACAAACACACUGAGCAAGAUACUACCAACGCCGCACUUCGAACUGCUGGGCAAACGAAGAACAUGGGUGACACCGUAUCAAGAGGUGCAAACGUCAAGGUCCACACCUGAAUCAAAUGACGCACCUAAAGAGUUAACACGGCGAGAAGUCUUGUUCAGAAGACUUAAAACAUUGAACCCUCGCUGAAAGGUAAAAUUAGUAGUUAUCCAUAUUUAUCCUUUCUGCAUUCCCUUUUCCCUUAAAUUAUUGACUUUCCUUAAUAGUUUGUUAGUUAAUCAUGCUAUCUUGAAAAGAAAUUUAAAAUAUUAAAAACAGUAAGCCCCAUGUGAGUAUGCUCAUGGCAUAAAACCCAUAAGUACAUUCACUGUGGUGGCGCAAAAAUAAAAAUAUUUCUAUCCUAUAAAAAUGAAAAUAUAAAAAUAAAUUUGUUGUCUAUUUGAGCUCCACAGAAUUCAAGGAUCAAAGAAGACUAGCAGACGAAGGACAUCCUAAUCGCUGUCAGGGUGCUGCCGACAUUCAAAUAUACCUCCGCCACCUGCUAGCUACAUCAAAAAAAAUUACAUCAAAAUCCAGCUUAGGGGAGAGUACCCCCAUUUAUCUAGCUAAGUGUUUCUACUCGCGUUUAUACUUUACUCCAAUAAUAAAAAGAUGCAUAAUCAUAAAAACCCAAAUAAAGAUUUUAUGCUUAUAUAUAUCUUUGCUUAGUUUGCUAAAUAAAUAAAUAAAUAAAGUUUGCUAUAAACCCUCAGUAUAAGCUCUCACAUGGAAAUGAUGAAUAGUUGUUUUACCAUGACUACUUCUCAAAAUUGAAUUCUCUCUCAAGUUUAGGCAUGACUAUUAUGAAUAAAGAUUUGCUCUAAACCUGAACUUGUGGGAAGAGUACUUGAUCUAAAGUCUAAGUCGUUAACGGAUAUGAUAUGGGAAGGUUGAGCAUCUGUUUAUCUGUUCCUAGAGAUGCUAGAAUUCUGAAGAAUUUUAUCUUUGAAAAUCUUUAAAAUGUUGCAUGAUGAGUUCCUGUAUGACGAGAGUUUAAAAUCUUACCACAGCCAUAUAUACAUGCUUAUUAGACUACGAACCAUACAUUUUCUUUUUACUGCUUAUGAGCAUUGAGUUUGGUCAAGCUGUGUAGACCCUUAAGAGCUUGUCAUGCGGUUAAAAUCAAGAUUCACUUGCACGUUCACUCAUACAUGCUGCUUCUACUCCGGAAGUACGCAUCCACAUACAUCCACUCAUUUCCAUCUCUAGAUUCACCCAAAAUUAUUCUACUCCUAUCCAGGAGAGAAUAGCCAAAAACAUUAUCCUAUCCCUGUUAUUCCCCGUGAAAUAAAUGCUCGAGAUAUUUUGGUUACUACCACUUGCUACAUUAUUCUAGGAGGGUGAGUGCUGUGAAAAAAAAGUAAAAAUGAGGAAAUAAAAAGGGGCAAGUGCCCGGAACCUCGAAGAAAAGAAAAAGUGAGAUGAGAGGUAAAAAUGGACAAGUGUCCGAUAGUAGAAUUAGGGGUACAAGAUACCCACCUGAGAGAAAAGAAAAACAAAAUAUAGAGCAUCUCAUUCCCCUCAAAAAGCAUCAAAGUGCAAGAAAGGUAUGUAUCCCCUCAAAAGAGCAAAAGUAGAAUUAGACCUUCACCAUUGUUUUCACCAUUAUCACCAUCAUAACCAUAUACCAUUCAUUCGCCACACAUGCACAUCUUGAUUUGACUUAUUGACUUGUUUCUCUGGAUCCAUGGUUUGACUAUGCAAUAAAUGUCUUGUAAGUAUGUAUUAGCUGUCUCCCACCUAUGAGCUCCAGAUAUCAAAACCUUAUUAGAGUAGGGUGAGAGAGAAGGCAAUGUCACUAUGCCUCAUAUCAAAAAAAAUGCCACAUGCUUUGAGAGAAGGCAUAUACCAUCACUGCCUUGGUAAGGAUCCAGAAAUACCACAAAAGAGAGAUUUGAGAGAGUCAUACAAAGGAAUCUCUAAGUUUUAUUUGAAAAUCUACAAAAACUCCAGAGCUAUAGUUGAUCAAGAACAAGAGACAUGUCGCUUGACUUGACCGUUCUAUCUUUUAACUGCACAAGACACAAGUGACGGUUGCAAGCCCCAUGGUGGAAGGUAAUAUGAGUAAGUUUAAAUCUUAACAGUUUACCCUAACCCAGAGAUGAGAUCUUGUUUGAACGCAUGUGUACCAUUAAGGCAUGAAACCACUGCAGAAACUCUUGAGUCCAUCCUUGCUCAGGGACAAGCAAGAGGUAAGCUUGGGGGAGUUGUUGACGGUCCUUAACUAUCAAAUUUAAUCAUUAAAUAAAUAAAGAAAAGGAUCCAAAUGCAACCAACACCCUUAGGGUUUUAUUUGACAGAAUUCCACGAGUUUUGGUGUUUGUCUAUUUCGGCAGAGGGGUUAUCAGGAAAUAUGGAGGAAAGGCCCACACGUCUGGUUUACAUAGAGAUAUUAACGUGUGCGGCAAUUUUCUCUCAUCUAGAAGACUCCAGA
rnacentral:lncRNA from 1 species